AUUGAACGCUGGCGGCAGGCCUAACACAUGCAAGUCGAGCGGAGCGGCGGACGGGUGAGUAAUGCCUAGGAAUCUGCCUGGUAGUGGGGGAUAACGUCCGGAAACGGGCGCUAAUACCGCAUACUAUCAGAUGAGCCUAGGUCGGAUUAGCUAGUUGGUGGGGUAAAGGCCUACCAAGGCGACGAUCCGUAACUGGUCUGAGAGGAGGAUCAGUCACACUGGAAUUGUGACACGGUCCAGCCGCCUACGGGAGGCAGCAGUGGGGAAGAUUGGACAAUGGGCUGAAGCCGGAUCCAGCCAUGGCGCGUGUGUGACGAAGGGUGUCGGAUUGUAAAGCACUUUAAGUUGGGAGGCGUUACCAACAGAAUAAGCACCGGCUAACUUCGUGCCAGCAGCCGCGGUAAUUC
rnacentral:rRNA from 1 species